AUUGAACGCUGGCGGAAUGCUUUACACAUGCAAGUCGAACGGUAGAGGGGGCAACCCCUCGAGAGUGGCGAACGGGUGAGUAAUAUAUCGGAACGUGCCCAGUCGUGGGGGAUAACGUAGCGAAAGUUACGCUAAUACCGCAUACGAUCUAAGGAUGAAAACGGGGGAUCGCAAGACCUCGCGCGAUUGGAGCGGCCGAUAUCAGAUUAGGUAGUUGGUGGGGUAAAGGCCUACCAAGGCGACGAUCUGUAGCGGGUCUGAGAGGAUGAUCCGCCAAACUGGGACUGAGACACGGCCCAGACUCCUACGGGAGGCAGCAGUGGGGAAUAUUGGACAAUGGGGGGAACCCUGAUCCAGCCAUGCCGCGUGUGUGAAGAAGGCCUUAUGGUUGUAAAGCACUUUAAGCGAGGAGGAGGCUCUUUUGGUUAAUACCCAAGAUGAGUGGACGUUACUCGCAGAAUAAGCACCGGCUAACUCUGUGCCAGCAGCCGCCGUAA
rnacentral:rRNA from 1 species